rnacentral:rRNA from 1 species
UAGGGAAUCUUCCGCAAUGGACGCAAGUCUGACGGAGCAACGCCGCGUGAGUGAAGAAGGAUUUCGGUUCGUAAAACUCUGUUGUUAGAGAAGAACAGCGCAUAGAGUAACUGUUAUGCGUCUGACGGCAUCUAACCAGAAAGCCACGGCUAACUACGUGCCAGCAGCCGCGGUAAUACGUAGGUGGCAAGCGUUGUCCGGAUUUAUUGGGCGUAAAGCGAGCGCAGGCGGUCAAUUAAGUCUGAUGUGAAAGCCCCCGGCUCAACCGGGGAGGGUCAUUGGAAACUGGUUGACUUGAGUGCAGAAGAGGAGAGUGGAAUUCCAUGUGUAGCGGUGAAAUGCGUAGAUAUAUGGAGGAACACCAGUGGCGAAGGCGACUCUCUGGUCUGUAACUGACGCUGAGGCUCGAAAGCGUGGGUAGCAAACAGG